rnacentral:lncRNA from 1 species
UCUCCCAAUCCACUGAUUCAAAUAUUAAUCUCCUUUGGCAACACCCUCACAGACACAUCCAGGAACAAUACUUUGUCUCCUUCAAUCAAGUUAACACUCAAUAUUAAUCAUCACAUUUGUAUUUUAUCUUUUUCUGAGAACUACCUGUUUAUAUUACUUGCAUGUAGUUAUUGUUUUCUUUUCUUUUCUUUUUUUUAAUUUGGUAAAACUUUUUGAAAAUUAAGUAGCCAUUUAUCUGUCACAUUUAUUUUGAACAACCAAUGUAGUAUUUGUCCUUAGACUUUGGCUAUGGAUUUUUUUAUUUUUUAUUUUUUUGCCAUAUAAAUGUUUUAAAUUUUAAGUUCUUAAAAUUUCCUUUUUGGCUUCUGGGUGUGCUGUGUAUUGAAUGUAUUUUCUUGGCUGCUUUUGUUUACCUAUUAACAGGAGGACCUUUCAGUCACCUUUGUAUUCCCAGUGCUUAGCAGAGGGACCUGCCCAUAGACCACUGGAUACCAAUGGAAUGAGGAGAUGAAGAAUUUGGCGAAGGAAGUGAACAGCUUAUAGGAGAAGAAGGAGAGAAUAGGGAAAGCUCUUCUAGAUACCAAAACAAGCAAGAAGAGUUGGGCUGGAUUUUAAUUCAAAAUAAAGUCUGAACUUUUCUUCCCCA